UCAGCGGAGCUCACGGACGACAUCUUCUUCUCUUCGGUAAUGUUCGGGAAGUAAGGGCCGUAUCAGAGCAUUUGUAGCAGUCUUCCAGUUUUUGACAACUGCGCAUGCGCCGAAAUUGAUGGAAAUUGCCGAAGCGCCAGAAGAAGACCCAAAGACUACCGAAGAGCCAAUGGUGGCUGUGAGCUCAACUGAAUCUGCAAAUAGAGGGCCUGAGCAUAGCACGAGGACGACAAAUGAAGGAUCUUUGCCCGAUGUGGCCAAAUACACUCUGGGAAUAACUCGGCUGAUUGGAUCCUUUGAACAGAUCAUGGCUGAUGUCUAUGCAGGUCCGUAGAGAGAGGACCACAUCCAGGUGUUGUUGCGGCCCCUGUGCCGAUGGGAUUUUCAAAUCUGCUCAAUAAGAUAUCUGGACAAUUUUAGGCCCAUAAACGGGCAGACAAAUUGCUGACAGGGGUUGAAUCAGCAACUUAAAUCUGCCUGUGUAUGACCUAGAUUUAGUCCAAGCAAUAAGAUAACACUUGGACAUCCUAUGCAGGGGGUUCACAUAUUUAAUUUGGCCUUUAUGGCUACAAAGUAAUACCAAGGCAUAUGUGGGGAGCAACAAACUUGAAUUUCAUCUUGUUGAAGGUGUUUGUCCCGAAAGCUUGUAAAAAUCCCUUUCUGCUAUUAAUAAACUCUGUAAGGAAA